rnacentral:rRNA from 1 species
AACGAACGCUGGCGGCAGGCUUAACACAUGCAAGUCGAACGCCCCGCAAGGGGAGUGGCAGACGGGUGAGUAACGCGUGGGAACAUACCCUUUUCUACGGAAUAGCUCUGGGAAACUGGAAUUAAUACCGUAUACGCCCUACGGGGGAAAGAUUUAUCGGGGAAGGAUUGGCCCGCGUUGGAUUAGCUAGUUGGUGGGGUAAAGGCCUACCAAGGCGACGAUCCAUAGCUGGUCUGAGAGGAUGAUCAGCCACAUUGGGACUGAGACACGGCCCAAACUCAUACGGGAGGCAGCAGUGGGGAAUAUUGGACAAUGGGCGCAAGCCUGAUCCAGCCAUGCCGCGUGAGUGAUGAAGGCCUUAGGGUUGUAAAGCUCUUUCACCGAUGAAGAUAAUGACGGUAGUCGGAGAAGAAGCCCCGGCUAACUUCGUG